UACAGAGGUCUCAAGCGUUGUUCGGAUUCAUUGGGCGUAAAGGGUGCGUAGGCGGCGCGGUAAGUCGGGUGUGAAAUCUCGGAGCUUAACUCCGAAACUGCAUUCGAUACUGCCGUGCUUGAGGACUGGAGAGGAGACUGGAAUUCCUGGUGUAGCGGUGAAAUGCGCAGAUAUCAGGAAGAACACCCGUGGCGAAGGCGGCUCUCUGGUACGUGACUGACGCUGAGACGCGAAAGCGUGGGGAGCGAACAGG
rnacentral:rRNA from 1 species